rnacentral:rRNA from 1 species
UCAAGUGAAGAAGCGCAUACGGUGGAUGCCUUGGCAGUCAGAGGCGAUGAAAGACGUGGUAGCCUGCGAAAAGCUUCGGGGAGUCGGCAAACAGACUUUGAUCCGGAGAUGUCUGAAUGGGGGAACCCAGCCAUCAUAAGAUGGUUAUCUUGUACUGAAUACAUAGGUGCAAGAGGCGAACCAGGGGAACUGAAACAUCUAAGUACCCUGAGGAAAAGAAAUCAACCGAGAUUCCCUUAGUAGUGGCGAGCGAACGGGGACUAGCCCUUAAGUGGCUUUGAGAUUAGCGGAACGCUCUGGAAAGUGCGGCCAUAGUGGGUGAUAGCCCUGUACGCGAAAGUCUCUUAGUCAUGAAAUCGAGUAGGACGGAGCACGAGAAACUUUGUCUGAAUAUGGGGGGACCAUCCUCCAAGGCUAAAUACUACUGACUGACCGAUAGUGAACUAGUACCGUGAGGGAAAGGCGAAAAGAACCCCGGAGAGGGGAGUGAAAUAGAUCCUGAAACCGUAUGCGUACAAGCAGUGGGAGCAGACGUUGUUCUGUGACUGCGUACCUUUUGUAUAAUGGGUCAGCGACUUAUUUUCAGUGGCGAGCUUAACCGAAUAGGGGAGGCGUAGCGAAAGCGAGUCUUAAUAGGGCGUCUAGUCGCUGGGAAUAGACCCGAAACCGGGCGAUCUAUCCAUGGGCAGGUUGAAGGUUAGGUAACACUGACUGGAGGACCGAACCGACUACCGUUGAAAAGUUAGCGGAUGACCUGUGGAUCGGAGUGAAAGGCUAAUCAAGCUCGGAGAUAGCUGGUUCUCCUCGAAAGCUAUUUAGGUAGCGCCUCAUGUAUCACUGUAGGGGGUAGAGCACUGUUUCGGCUAGGGGGUCAUCCCGACUUACCAAACCGAUGCAAACUCCGAAUACCUACAAGUGCCGAGCAUGGGAGACACACGGCGGGUGCUAACGUCCGUCGUGAAAAGGGAAACAACCCAGACCGUCAGCUAAGGUCCCAAAGUUAUGGUUAAGUGGGAAACGAUGUGGGAAGGCUUAGACAGCUAGGAGGUUGGCUUAGAAGCAGCCACCCUUUAAAGAAAGCGUAAUAGCUCACUAGUCGAGUCGGCCUGCGCGGAAGAUGUAACGGGGCUCAAACCAUACACCGAAGCUACGGGUAUCACGUAAGUGAUGCGGUAGAGGAGCGUUCUGUAAGCCUGUGAAGGUGAGUUGAGAAGCUUGCUGGAGGUAUCAGAAGUGCGAAUGCUGACAUGAGUAACGACAAUGGGUGUGAAAAACACCCACGCCGAAAGACCAAGGUUUCCUGCGCAACGUUAAUCGACGCAGGGUUAGUCGGUCCCUAAGGCGAGGCUGAAAAGCGUAGUCGAUGGAAAACAGGUUAAUAUUCCUGUACUUCUGGUUAUUGCGAUGGAGGGACGGAGAAGGCUAGGCCAGCUUGGCGUUGGUUGUCCAAGUUUAAGGUGGUAGGCUGAAAUCUUAGGUAAAUCCGGGGUUUCAAGGCCGAGAGCUGAUGACGAGUUGCCUUUAGGCGACGAAGUGGUUGAUGCCAUGCUUCCAAGAAAAGCUUCUAAGCUUCAGAUAACCAGGAACCGUACCCCAAACCGACACAGGUGGUUGGGUAGAGAAUACCAAGGCGCUUGAGAGAACUCGGGUGAAGGAACUAGGCAAAAUGGCACCGUAACUUCGGGAGAAGGUGCGCCGGUGAGGGUGAAGCACUUGCUGCGUAAGCCCACGCCGGUCGAAGAUACCAGGCCGCUGCGACUGUUUAUUAAAAACACAGCACUCUGCAAACACGAAAGUGGACGUAUAGGGUGUGACGCCUGCCCGGUGCCGGAAGGUUAAUUGAUGGGGUUAGCUAACGCGAAGCUCUUGAUCGAAGCCCCGGUAAACGGCGGCCGUAACUAUAACGGUCCUAAGGUAGCGAAAUUCCUUGUCGGGUAAGUUCCGACCUGCACGAAUGGCGUAACGAUGGCGGCGCUGUCUCCACCCGAGACUCAGUGAAAUUGAAAUCGCUGUGAAGAUGCAGUGUAUCCGCGGCUAGACGGAAAGACCCCGUGAACCUUUACUAUAGCUUUGCACUGGACUUUGAAUUUGCUUGUGUAGGAUAGGUGGGAGGCUUUGAAGCGUGGACGCCAGUUCGCGUGGAGCCAUCCUUGAAAUACCACCCUGGCAACUUUGAGGUUCUAACUCAGGUCCGUUAUCCGGAUCGAGGACAGUGUAUGGUGGGUAGUUUGACUGGGGCGGUCUCCUCCUAAAGAGUAACGGAGGAGUACGAAGGUGCGCUCAGACCGGUCGGAAAUCGGUCGUAGAGUAUAAAGGCAAAAGCGCGCUUGACUGCGAGACAGACACGUCGAGCAGGUACGAAAGUAGGUCUUAGUGAUCCGGUGGUUCUGUAUGGAAGGGCCAUCGCUCAACGGAUAAAAGGUACUCCGGGGAUAACAGGCUGAUACCGCCCAAGAGUUCAUAUCGACGGCGGUGUUUGGCACCUCGAUGUCGGCUCAUCACAUCCUGGGGCUGAAGCCGGUCCCAAGGGUAUGGCUGUUCGCCAUUUAAAGUGGUACGCGAGCUGGGUUUAGAACGUCGUGAGACAGUUCGGUCCCUAUCUGCCGUGGACGUUUGAGAUUUGAGAGGGGCUGCUCCUAGUACGAGAGGACCGGAGUGGACGAACCUCUGGUGUUCCGGUUGUCACGCCAGUGGCAUUGCCGGGUAGCUAUGUUCGGGAAAGAUAACCGCUGAAAGCAUCUAAGCGGGAAACUUGCCUCAAGAUGAGAUCUCACUGGAACCUUGAGUUCCCUGAAGGGCCGUCGAAGACUACGACGUUGAUAGGUUGGGUGUGUAAGCGCUGUGAGGCGUUGAGCUAACCAAUACUAAUUGCCCGUGAGGCUUGACCAU